CGGACGGGUGAGUAAUGUCUGGGAAACUGCCCGAUGGAGGGGGAUAACUACUGGAAACGGUAGCUAAUACCGCAUAACGUCGCAAGACCAAAGAGGGGGACCUUAGGGCCUCUUGCCAUCGGAUGUGCCAGAUGGGAUUAGCUAGUAGGUGGGGUAACGGCUCACCUAGGCGACGAUCCCUAGCUGGUCUGAGAGGAUGACCAGCCACACUGGAACUGAGACACGGUCCAG
rnacentral:rRNA from 1 species